rnacentral:pre_miRNA from 1 species
UGGACAGAUUAUUGUAUUCGACUGUAUUCACGGCGUGAAACAGGGGAUUACACUGUUUUUAAACAGAAAGUGAAUCAAUUAUAACAUAAUAGACUCCU